rnacentral:misc_RNA from 1 species
GCCAUAUAUAGCUCUGUUUUCUAAAAAUGAUCGGGAAUUCCUCGUCUUGGUCCCGGCUGGAAGACAAGGCCUUUGAACGAGCACUUGUUGUCUUUCCCGAGGAAACUCCUUGCAGAUGGGAAAAGAUUGCCAGCCAAAUUCCAGGAAAGACAUGGAUUGAUGUGAAGAAACAUUACGAGGAUUUGGUUCAUGAUGUUGGGGAGAUUGACUCUGGUCGAGUCGAGUUGCCGAAUUAUGAGGAUGAGUUGGGGCUGGACUCUGCCGGUGGUUGGGGUUCUGCUACGGAGUCAGGGACGAGUCAGGUGUGGUUUGGGUCUACAGGGAAGGGGAAGGAGACGACCGAGAGGAGGAAGGGGAUCCCCUGGACAGAAGAAGAGCACAGGUUGUUUCUAAUAGGACUACAGAGAUAUGGGAAAGGAGACUGGAGAAGCAUCUCAAGAAAUGCAGUAGUAUCAAGAACACCAACUCAAGUGGCCAGCCAUGCCCAGAAGUAUUUUCUUCGCAUCAACUCAAUAAAGAAGGAUAAGAAGAGGCCUAGCAUUCAUGACGUUACCACUAAUGCCACCAAUCAUCCUAUUUCUGCUCAUGACUUGAUGGAUCCAAACCCCUUCUCUCAUCCUGAUAGCCCAUCUGCCUAUCAUGGCUUUGGAUUCCCC